CGUCGCUCCCCUACUUUCGCGCCUCAGCGUCAGUGUCGGCCCAGCAACCCGCCUUCGCCGCAGGUGUUCCUCUCGAUAUCUACGCAUUUCACCGCUACACCGAGAAUUCCAGUUGCCCCUUCCGCACUCUAGCCCUGCAGUAUCAGUUGACCUUUCCGAGUUAAGCCCGGAGAUUUCACAACUGACUUGCAGUGGCCGCCUACGCGCCCUUUACGCCCAGUAAAUCCGAACAACGCUUGCUCCCCCCGUAUUACCGCGGCUGCUGGCACGGAGUUAGCCGGAGCUUACAAACAGUACCGUCAUCGUCUGCGAUAUUAACGCAGGCUUAUUCUUCCCGUUCUUGCGAAGUUUACAUCCCGAAGGAUUUCAUCCUUCACGCGGCGUUGCUGGGUCAGGCUUUCGCCCAUUGCCCAAAAUUCCCGACUGCUGCCUCCCGUAGGAGUCUGACCCGUAUGUCAGUGUCAGUGUGGCCGACCGCCCUCUCAGGCCGGCUACGGAUCGUCGCCUUGGUAGGCUGUUACCCUACCAACUAGCUAAUCCGCCGCAGGCUCCUCUUCAGACGCGAGGUCUUGCGAUCCCCCGCUUUAACAACUGUCACCAUUAGGUGCCGCUGCAUUAUGCGGUAUUAGCACCGAUUUCUCG
rnacentral:rRNA from 1 species